UGCAGUCGAGCGGUAACAUUUCUAGCUUGCUAGAAGAUGACCGAGUGGCGGACGGGUGAGUAAUGCUUGGGAACUUGCCUUUAGGAGGGGGAUAACAGUUGGAAACGACUGCUAAUACCGCAUAAUGUCUACGGACCAAAGGGGGCUUCGGCUCUCACCUAAAGAGAGGCCCAAGUGAGAUUAGCUAGUUGGUAAGGUAAAAGCUUACCAAGGCGACGAUCUCUAGCUGUUCUGAGAGGAAGAUCAGCCACACUGGGACUGAGACACGGCCCAGACUCCUACGGGAGGCAGCAGUGGGGAAUAUUGCACAAUGGGGGAAACCCUGAUGCAGCCAUGCCGCGUGUGUGAAGAAGGCCUUCGGGUUGUAAAGCACUUUCAGUUGUGAGGAAAGGUUGGUAGUUAAUACCUGCCAGCUGUGACGUUAACAACAGAAGAAGCACCGGCUAACUCCGUGCCAGCAGCCGCGGUAAUACGGAGGGUGCGAGCGUUAAUCGGAAUUACUGGGCGUAAAGCGCACGCAGGCGGUUUGUUAAGCUAGAUGUGAAAGCCCCGGGCUCAACCUGGGAUGGUCAUUUAGAACUGGCAGACUAGAGUCUUGGAGAGGGGAGUGGAAUUCCAGGUGUAGCGGUGAAAUGCGUAGAUAUCUGGAGGAACAUCAGUGGCGAAGGCGGCUCCCUGGCCAAAGACUGACGCUCAUGUGCGAAAGUGU
rnacentral:rRNA from 1 species